rnacentral:rRNA from 1 species
CCUACGGGAGGCAGCAGUGAGGAAUAUUGGUCAAUGGGCUUACGCCUGAACCAGCCAAGUCGCGUGAGGGAAGACUGCCCUAUGGGUUGUAAACCUCUUUUGUCAGGGAGCAACGCCGGCUACGUGUAGCCGGACUGAGAGUACCUGAAGAAAAAGCAUCGGCUAACUCCGUGCCAGCAGCCGCGGUAAUACGGAGGAUGCGAGCGUUAUCCGGAUUUAUUGGGUUUAAAGGGUGCGCAGGCGGUCUGUUAAGUCAGCGGUCAAAGCCCGGGGCUCAACCCCGGCCCGCCGUUGAAACUGGCAGU